rnacentral:rRNA from 1 species
CUCGUAGGCGGUUCGUCGCGUCCGGUGUGAAAGUCCAUCGCUUAACGGUGGAUCCGCGCCGGGUACGGGCGGGCUUGAGUGCGGUAGGGGAGACUGGAAUUCCCGGUGUAACGGUGGAAUGUGUAGAUACCGGGAAGAACACCAAUGGCGAAGGCAGGUCUCUGGGCCGUCACUGACGCUGAGGAGCGAAAGCGUGGGGAGCGAACA